AAAAAAAAAAAUUUGAAGAAAAGUUCAUGUAAAAUUAGCGCUCCUGAAUCUUUCUAAUAUUUUGUCCCUUUUCUAACUUUCUCCCCCGCGUGUCAUGGUUUAGAAAGGGUAGGGAGGGGGCUGGGCAGUGCGUUU
rnacentral:ribozyme from 1 species